GACGGGGGGGGCAAGUGUUCUUCGGAAUGACUGGGCGUAAAGGGCACGUAGGCGGUGAAUCGGGUUGAAAGUGAAAGUCGCCAAAAAGUGGCGGAAUGCUCUCGAAACCAAUUCACUUGAGUGAGACAGAGGAGAGUGGAAUUUCGUGUGUAGGGGUGAAAUCCGUAAAUAUACGAAGGAACGCCAAAAGCGAAGGCAGCUCUCUGGGUCCCUACCGACGCUGGGUGCGAAAGCAUGGGGAGCGAACAGG
rnacentral:rRNA from 1 species